rnacentral:misc_RNA from 1 species
GAUGAAGAACGCAGUGAAAUGCGAUAAGUAAUGUGAAUUGCAGAAUUCAGUGAAUCAUCGAAUCUUUGAACGCACCUUGCACCCUUUGGCAUUCCGAAGGGUAUGCUCGUUUGAGUGUCAUUGUACUCUCACACUUCCGAUCUUUCGAUUGGGAGCGGUGGACUUGGGUGUUGCUGCUUUACUGUGGCUCACCUCAAAUGGAGUAGUGCAACUCUUGGUUGGACAUAGUACGGCGUGAUAAGUGUCUUCGCCGGCGCCUCUGUAAGGAGGGUGGCCGAUCGGGAGCUCUGUGCUUCAAACCGUCUUCGGACAAUCUUUGACAACUUGACCUCAAAUCGAGUAGGACUACCCGCUGAACUUAAGCAUAUCAAUAAGCGGAGGA